CCUACGGGUGGCAGCAGUGGGGGAUAUUGCACAAUGGGGGAAACCCUGAUGCAGCGACGCCGCGUGUGGGAAGACGGUCCUCUGGAUUGUAAACCACUGUCCCCAGGGACGAAGAUGACGGUACCUGGGGUGGAAGCUCCGGCUAACUACGUGACAGCAGCCGCGGUAAUUCGUAGGGAGCGAGCGUUGUCCGGAAUUACUGGGUGUAAAGUGAGCGUAGGCGGGGAUGCAAGUUGGGUGUCAAAACUACGGGCUAAACUGGUAGUCGCACUCAAAACUGCAGAUCUUGAGUGAAGUAGAGGCAGGCGGAAUUCCUAGUGUAGCGGUGAAAUGCGUAGAUAUUAGGAGGAACACCAGUGGCGAAGGCGGCCUGCUGGGCUUUUACUGACGCUGAGGCUCGAAAGUGUGGGGAGCAAACAGGAUUAGAUACCCGAGUAGUC
rnacentral:rRNA from 1 species